UCCUCCCUCUUUCUUCGUGCUUAACACAUGCAAGUCGAACGGAAAGGCCCUGCUUUUGUGGGGUGCUCGAGUGGCGAACGGGUGAGUAACACGUGAGUAACCUGCCCUUGACUUUGGGAUAACUUCAGGAAACUGGGGCUAAUACCGGAUAGGAGCUCCUGCUGCAUGGUGGGGGUUGGAAAGUUUCGGCGGUUGGGGAUGGACUCGCGGCUUAUCAGCUUGUUGGUGGGGUAGUGGCUUACCAAGGCUUUGACGGGUAGCCGGCCUGAGAGGGUGACCGGCCACAUUGGGACUGAGAUACGGCCCAGACUCCUACGUGAGGCAGCAGUGGGGAAUAUUGCACAAUGGGCGGAAGCCUGAUGCAGCAACGCCGCGUGCGGGAUGACGGCCUUCUGGUUGUAAACCGCUUUCGCCUGUGACGAAGCGUGAGUGACGGUAAUGGGUAAAGAAGCACCGGCUAACUACGUG
rnacentral:rRNA from 1 species